UUGGGGCAUCCUGACUGAUGAAGAAUUCAGAGCGGGAGCGUCCUGGCUUGCUCGUUUACCUGCAAUGGUUGGUCCCUCCUGACUCUCGCAUCCAGGCUUCACUGCAAUUAGGCCAGCCGCGGAGCGGGAAAGGCCUCUGUGGGUGCAUCCGGAACUGGGGAGGGGUGCUAGUCUGAGCCAGCCCGGAGGCGAGGCGCAGCGUGGAGUGGAAUGUGGAGCGCACACCUGUCUGGCCCAGCCCAGGUCAGGAGGCUUCCGGCUGCAGGAUUAUACUUGAAUUUGAAGCCAGUCUCCUGAAAGCCUCAGGCAGGUGGUCAACUCGGCUAGUGUACCUGAUACUGGCAACGAUUGAGGGCAGGAGGAGAAGGGGACAACAGAGGAUGAGAUGGUUGGAUGGCAUCACCGACUCCAUGGACAUGAGUUUGAGCAAGCUCUGUGGAAGACGGGGACACCUGGAGUGCUGAAGUCCACUGGGUCACUAAGAGUUGGGAACGACUUAGUGACUGAACAACAGAAGCCUCCUCUGCCCGUUCCUUUCUAAUCACUACCCACCCCUUCCCAAAGUGUGGCCACUCUCCUGACUUCUGAUCACACAUGUUAGAUUUGCCUGAUUUUUUCCAUCUGUCAAUAAAUGCAG